UUAGAUGAGUUUCCCAAACGCAGUUAUUCCUUGCAGCUAAUUUUCUUUUCGCCGUUAUUCACAGUCGCAAAUUUUCCCACUUUUUUAAUUUCCCUGUCUUACUAUUUCUCGGUUAAAAUUCAGACAAAAAAAUAUCAGAAACAGAAGCAAAGCGACUGUAAAAAUAAGCUGCAGAGGAAAAAUUAACUGCAGGUUAAAAUUCAGACAAAAAAAUAUCAGAAACAGAAGCAAAGCGACUGUAAAAAUAAGCUGCAGAGGAAAAAUUAACUGCAGGUUAAAAUUCAGACAAAAAAAUAUCAGAAACAGAAGCAAAGCGACUGUAAAAAUAAGCUGCAGAGGAAAAAUUAACUGCAG